rnacentral:rRNA from 1 species
AGAGUUUGAUCCUGGCUCAGGAUGAACGCUGGCGGCGUGCCUAAUACAUGCAAGUCGAGCGAACAGAUAAGGAGCUUGCUCCUUUGACGUUAGCGGCGGACGGGUGAGUAACACGUGGGUAACCUACCUAUAAGACUGGGAUAACUUCGGGAAACCGGAGCUAAUACCGGAUAAUAUUUCGAACCGCAUGGUUCGAUAGUGAAAGAUGGUUUUGCUAUCACUUAUAGAUGGACCCGCGCCGUAUUAGCUAGUUGGUAAGGUAACGGCUUACCAAGGCAACGAUACGUAGCCGACCUGAGAGGGUGAUCGGCCACACUGGAACUGAGACACGGUCCAGACUCCUACGGGAGGCAGCAGUAGGGAAUCUUCCGCAAUGGGCGAAAGCCUGACGGAGCAACGCCGCGUGAGUGAUGAAGGUUUUCGGAUCGUAAAACUCUGUUAUUAGGGAAGAACAUACGUGUAAGUAACUAUGCACGUCUUGACGGUACCUAAUCGGAAAGCCACGGCUAACUACGUGCCAGCAGCCGCGGUAAUACGUAGGUGGCAAGCGUUAUCCGGAAUUAUUGGGCGUAAAGCGCGCGUAGGCGGUUUUUUAAGUCUGAUGUGAAAGCCCACGGCUCAACCGUGGAGAGUCAUUGGAAACUGGAAAACUUGAGUGCAGAAGAGGAAAGUGGAAUUCCAUGUGUAGCGGUGAAAUGCGCAGAGAUAUGGAGGAACACCAGUGGCGAAGGCGACUUUCUGGUCUGUAACUGACGCUGAUGUGCGAAAGCGUGGGGAUCAAACAGGAUUAGAUACCCUGGUAGUCC